rnacentral:rRNA from 1 species
GAUGAACGCUGGCGGCGUGCCUAAUACAUGCAAGUCGAGCGAACAGAUAAGGAGCUUGCUCCUUUGACGUUAGCGGCGGACGGGUGAGUAACACGUGGGUAACCUACCUAUAAGACUGGGAUAACUUCGGGAAACCGGAGCUAAUACCGGAUAAUAUUUCGAACCGCAUGGUUCGAUAGUGAAAGAUGGUUUUGCUAUCACUUAUAGAUGGACCCGCGCCGUAUUAGCUAGUUGGUAAGGUAACGGCUUACCAAGGCGACGAUACGUAGCCGACCUGAGAGGGUGAUCGGCCACACUGGAACUGAGACACGGUCCAGACUCCUACGGGAGGCAGCAGUAGGGAAUCUUCCGCAAUGGGCGAAAGCCUGACGGAGCAACGCCGCGUGAGUGAUGAAGGUCUUCGGAUCGUAAAACUCUGUUAUUAGGGAAGAACAUACGUGUAAGUAACUGUGCACGUCUUGACGGUACCUAAUCAGAAAGCCACGGCUAACUACGUGCCAGCAGCCGCGGUAAUACGUAGGUGGCAAGCGUUAUCCGGAAUUAUUGGGCGUAAAGCGCGCGUAGGCGGUUUUUUAAGUCUGAUGUGAAAGCCCACGGCUCAACCGUGGAGGGUCAUUGGAAACUGGAAAACUUGAGUGCAGAAGAGGAAAGUGGAAUUCCAUGUGUAGCGGUGAAAUGCGCAGAGAUAUGGAGGAACACCAGUGGCGAAGGCGACUUUCUGGUCUGUAACUGACGCUGAUGUGCGAAAGCGUGGGGAUCAAACAGGAUUAGAUACCCUGGUAGUCCACGCCGUAAACGAUGAGUGCUAAGUGUUAGGGGGUUUCCGCCCCUUAGU